rnacentral:rRNA from 1 species
UGAGGAAUAUUGCGCAAUGGACGAAAGUCUGACGCAGCAACGCCGCGUGCAGGAUGAAGGCCCUUUGGGUUGUAAACUGCUGUAGCAGGGGAAUAAGUUCUCCCUCGGGGAGAGUGAAGGUACCCUGAAAGUAAGCGCCGGCUAACUACGUGCCAGCAGCCGCGGUAAUACGUAGGGCGCAAGCGUUGUCCGGAUUCACUGGGUGUAAAGGGUGCGCAGGCGGGAAGGUAAGUUAGAGGUGAAAUCUCACGGCUCAACCGUGAAACUGCCUUUGAUACUGCUUUUCUUGAGUUAGGGAGAGGUUGAUGGAAUUCCAGGUGUAGCGGUGAAAUGCGUAGAUAUCUGGAAGAACACCGGUGGCGAAGGCGGUCAACUGGCCCUAAACUGACGCUCAUGCACGAAAGACGUGGGGAUCAAACAGGAUUAGAUACCCUGGUAGUCCACGCCCUAAACGAUGAAUACUUGGUGUUGGCCUUUUUGGUCUAGUGCCG